rnacentral:rRNA from 1 species
UACGGAGGGUGCGAGCGUUGUCCGGAAUCACUGGGCGUAAAGGGCGCGUAGGUGGCCCGGUCAGUUCGUGGUGAAAGCGCGGGGCUCAACCCUGCGUCGGCCAUGAAUACUGCCGCGGCUGGAGCACUGUAGAGGCAGGCGGAAUUCCGGGUGUAGCGGUGGAAUGCGUAGAGAUCCGGAAGAACACCGGUGGCGAAGGCGGCUCGCUGGGCAGUGGCUGACGCUGAGGCGCGACAGCGUGGGGAGCAAACAGG